GACGAACGCUGGCGGCGUGCUUAACACAUGCAAGUCGAACGGAAAGGCCCUGCUUUUGUGGGGUGCUCGAGUGGCGAACGGGUGAGUAACACGUGAGUAACCUGCCCUUGACUUUGGGAUAACUUCAGGAAACUGGGGCUAAUACAGGAUAGGAGCUCCUGCUGCAUGGUGGGGGUUGGAAAGUUUCGGCGGUUGGGGAUGGACUCGCGGCUUAUCAGCUUGUUGGUGGGGUAGUGGCUUACCAAGGCUGUGACGGGUAGCCGGCCUGAGAGGGUGACCGGCCACAUUGGGACUGAGAUACGGCCCAGACUCCUACGGGAGGCAGCAGUGGGGAAUAUUGCACAAUGGGCGGAAGCCUGAUGCAGCAACGCCGCGUGCGGGAUGACGGCCUUCGGGUUGUAAACCGCUUUCGCCUGUGACGAAGCGUGAGUGACGGUAAUGGGUAAAGAAGCACCGGCUAACUACGUG
rnacentral:rRNA from 1 species